GAUGAACGCUGGCGGCGUGCCUAAUACAUGCAAGUCGAGCGAACAGACGAGGAGCUUGCUCCUCUGACGUUAGCGGUGGACGGGUGAGUAACACGUGGAUAACCUACCUAUAAGACUGGGAUAACUUCGGGAAACCGGAGCUAAUACCGGAUAACAUGUUGAACCGCAUGGUUCAACAGUGAAAGACGGUCUUGCUGUCACUUAUAGAUGGAUCCGCGCCGCAUUAGCUAGUUGGUAAGGUAACGGCUUACCAAGGCAACGAUGCGUAGCCGACCUGAGAGGGUGAUCGGCCACACUGGAACUGAGACACGGUCCAGACUCCUACGGGAUGCAGCAGUAGGGAAUCUUCCGCAAUGGGCGAAAGCCUGACGGAGCAACGCCGCGUGAGUGAAGAAGGUCUUCGGAUCGUAAAACUCUGUUAUUAGGGAAGAACAAAUGUGUAAGUAACUAUGCACGUCUUGACGGUACCUAAUCAGAAAGCCACGGCUAACUACGUG
rnacentral:rRNA from 1 species